CUUAAGCAUAUCAAUAAGCGGGGGAAAAGAAACCCACAGGGAUUGCCCCAGUAACGGCGAGUGAAGCGGCAACAGCUCAAAUUUGAAAUCUGGCUCUCGGGCCCGAGUUGUAAUUUGUAGAGGAUGCUUUUGGUGAGGUGCCUUCCGAGUUCCCUGGAACGGGACGCCAUAGAGGGUGAGAGCCCCGUCUGGUUGGACACCGAUCCUCUGUAAAGCUCCUUCGACGAGUCGAGUAGUUUGGGAAUGCUGCUCUAAAUGGGAGGUAUAUGUCUUCUAAAGCUAAAUACCGGCCAGAGACCGAUAGCGCACAAGUAGAGUGAUCGAAAGAUGAAAAGAACUUUGAAAAGAGAGUUAAACAGUACGUGAAAUUGUUGAAAGGGAAGCGCUUGUGACCAGACUUGGGCUUGGUUGAUCAUCCGGGGUUCUCCCCGGUGCACUCUUCCGGCUCAGGCCAGCAUCAGUUCGCCCUGGGGGAUAAAGGCUUCGGGAAUGUGGCUCUCUCCGGGGAGUGUUAUAGCCCGCUGCGUAAUACCCUGUGGCGGACUGAGGUUCGCGCAUUCGCAAGGAUGCUGGCGUAAUGGUCAUCAGUGACCCGUCUUGAAACACGGACCAAGGAGUCGUCUUCGUAUGCGAGUGUUCGGGUGUCAAACCCCUACGCGAAAUGAAAGUGAACGCAGGUGAGAGCUUCGGCGCAUCAUCGACCGAUCCUGAUGUUAUCGGAUGGAUUUGAGUAAGAGCAUACGGGGCCGGACCCGAAAGAAGGUGAACUAUGCCUGUGUAGGGUGAAGCCAGAGGAAACUCUGGUGGAGGCUCGCAGCGGUUCUGACGUGCAAAUCGAUCGUCAAACAUGGGCAUGGGGGCGAAAGACUAAUCGAACCUUCUAGUAGCUGGUUUCCGCCGAAGUU
rnacentral:rRNA from 1 species